UGAAUAUAAAAGAAUAAUUGAAAUGAACCUGGUUAGUUGUAACGCCCUCGAUGCGGCUAUAUCUCCCACGUGUCGAAACAUGACUUAGAGGCAUAACCGCAUUGAAAGCAAUGUCGCAAGUGAGGUAAUCUUCACACAACCCAUGUAAUACAUAAGGGAAAGAGAUACAUAGUUGGCUUACAAUCGCCACUUCACACAAAUACAUGAAUAAAGCAUUACAUCAUUCAAAUACAAUCAGGGCCCGACUAUGGAGCCAAAAUAAAAGAAGACUACCCCAAAUGCUACACAGAUCCCCAAUCGUCCCGACUGGGAUCCACUACUGAUCAACUAGAACGAAACAACACCAAGGACAAGAUCUUCAUCGAGCCCCUCCUUGAGCUUGGUUGCGUCACCUACACGGUUCAAUGACACCUGCAAACUGGUUUUGGAAGUAUCUGUGAGUCACGGGGACUCAGCAAUCUCGCACCCUCGCGAUCAAGACUAUUCAAGCUUAUGGGUAAGGUAAAGGUAUGAGGUAGAGCUGCAACAAGCGACUAUCAUAUAUGGUGGCUAACCUAUUCGCAAAAGAGAGCAAGAAAAGAAGGCAAAAGCACGGUUGAACAACUAUGAUCAAGAAGUGAUCCUAGAGCAACCUACGUCAAGCAUAACUCCAACACCGUGUUCACUUCCCGGACUCCUCCAGAAAAAGACCAUCACGGUUACACACGCGGUUGAUGUAUUUUAAUUAAGGGCAACUUCAGGUUUUCUACAAUUGGACAUUAACAAAUUCCCAUCUGCCCAUAACCGCGGGCACGGCUUUCGAAAGUUCAUAACCCUACAGGGGUGUCCCAACUUAGCCCAUCACAAGCUCUCACGGUCAAUGAAGGAUAUUCCUUCUAGCGGGAAGACCUGAUCAGACUCGGAAUCCCGGUUACAAGACAUUUCGACAAUGAUAAAACAAAUCCAGCAACACCGCCCGAAUGUGCCGACAAAUCCCGAUAGGAGCUGCACAUAUCUCGUUGUCAGGGCACACUCAGAUUGUCUAAACUUUCGGUAGGCCAGCCCAGAGUUUCCCCUGGUGGCCACCGGCGGCUGACAAGGUGGACCAACACUCAGAGGAGCACUGGCCCCGGGGUUAAAUAAAGAUGACCCUUGAGUCCGCGGAACCCAAGGGAAAACGAGGCUAGGUGGCAAAUGGUAAAACCAAUGUUGGGCAUUGCUGGAAGAGUUUUAUUCAGGCGAACUGUCAAGGGGUUCCCAUUAUUACCCAACCACGUAAGGAACGCAAAAUCCGGGAACAUAACACCGAUAUGAUGAAAACUAGGGCGGCAAGAGUGGAACAAAACACCAGGCAUAAGGCCGAGCCUUCCACCCUUUACCAAGUAUAUAGAUGCAUUAAUUAAAUAGGAGAUAUUAUGAUAUCCCAACAAGUAAACAUGUUCCAAUAAGGAACAACAUCUCCAUGUUCCAACAGGGAACAAACUUCAAUCUUCACUUGCAACUAACAACGCUAUAAGAGGGGCUGAGCAAAGCAGUAACAUAGCCAAACAACGGUUUGCUGGGACAAGGUGGGUUAGAGGCUUGGUUCAACAAUAUAGGAGACAUGAUAAGUAAGUGGUAGGUAUCGCAGCAUAGGCAUAGCAAAAGGGCGAGCAACUAGCAAGCAAAGAUAGAAGUGAUUUCGAGGGUAUGGUCAUCUUGCCUGAGAUCCCGCAAGGAAGAAGAAUGAGUCCAUGAAGAAGACAAAUGGACGUAGUCGAACGGUUCCUCACAAACGCGACGUAAUCGGAACCAACCUGAAGAAGCAACACCGGAAAGGAGCAAACACCAUAGUAAACAACCAACACAUCAACAUGGCACGAUGCGCAAACAAGUAUGAUGCAUGUCCGGUUUAAUGAAGCAUGGCAUGGCAAAGUGCACAAACAAUCCUACAAAUUAAGUGGAGCUCAUUAUGCAACUCCGUUGCAUAUUGACGAAACAUCACAUUUGGUUAUUGAGUUCAAUCUCGUUUAUGUACUCAAUAAUAUUAAAUGUUGUUGAACAUGGCAAGAGAGUGAAGCAAAUGAAAACUACCUAUCUAGGCAAGUUUAAAUGAGGCCGGAAACAACGAACAACAAUUCCGGAAACUCCUCAUAUGCAUAUAUUAGGUUUGGUACUGUUCUGCCCUAAACAUAAUUUUAGAGUUGUUAAACAUGCUAGAUGAGUGCAACAUGUUAACCUAGGCAAAAUUCUACCCCAUUUGCAUAUAAAGUUUAUUAAAAUCCGAGCUACGGUUAUUUAGUUAUGAAUUAAAGCAUUUUAACAUGGCAUAGGAGCAAAUUAUAUGCAAGCAACAUUUUAAACAUUCUAAACCUGGAUGAAAAUGACAUAUUAUGAAACUAGAUGGAAAACUAAGCAUAUUUCAUAUAUAAUUCAUUUUAAUCCGAUGCAUGAAUUGUGAGUUAUUAUAUGCAUGUUGUGCAAGGGUUUUUUUGUAAAUCUGUUUUCUCUGAAAAAAAGACAAAUUCACAGAUCCUGAAAAAAAACAUCAACGGGCUGAAACUGCGCGGACUGGGCUGCUCACAUUGGGCUUGAGGGGGCACUGGGCAUCUGGGCUGCGAGCGAAGCAGAGGAGCUGGGCCUUGGCCUGAUCUAGAGGCGCGCUGGGCCAAGCAUGGUCAAAGCGAGGCGAGGCAGGCGAACGAGCUCCUGCCUGUUACUGCAGGUAGAGCAACGACAACAACAGGUUCAGGCAAACGGCAGCGAGAACGUCUCCGGCAACAUGGGACUUGGCGCGAAGCUGGAGAGGAGGCCGACUGUGGACGCUGCGGAUCCGUGCAGCCCGAGGGUCGGGGAGGCGGUUGCCGGCGACGAGGGACUCCGGUGAUGGCGUUGCUCAAUCAAACAGAGCAGGCAGCAGUGGGAUCGAGGAGGGGCGAAGCAGCGGAAGGGGUCGAGCUUGUUCUGGCCGGAUCCGAGGCGAUUGGCGGUGAUGGACUCCUUCGGAGCUCCACUCCGGUGCGUGGCACGCCCAUGGCCGGCGUCGAUGGCAGCAGUGGUGGCUUGAAGCCUGCAUCCAUGGCGGGUCCUGUGAUAGUCGAACAGAGGAAGUUUGAGGGGCCAGAGAAGGGGAUGAAAGAAGAAAGGAGGAGGGGGCGCGGCAGAGGGGCCUGCUGAAGGUGGUCGCCGGCGGUGUGGUUCGCCGGGGUGGCGGAUCGCGAGGAGGAGCGCUCAGGCGCUGUUGCUCCUCCCCUCAUGGAGCUCCUGGAUGAGGAGGGCUACGGGAGCACGGGCGCGGGGCCGGUUGGCGCGUUCGCUGGCGAGGGUGGAGGCGUUGGAUCCUGUCACGGGAGGUCGCCGGGGACCCGUUCCCUGCCGGAUCGAAGCAGAGGCGAGCCGACGAACUUGGAGCUCCAUGGCGCGGGGUGAGGUGCGCUGCUGCGCUGGUGGACCAAGUGGAGUGCUGGCUUUCGGCGGUGUGGUGAUCUUGGAGGAGCUCGAGGUGGGAGGUGCUCGGUGGUCGGGGACGAUGAUUGGCCGUGAUUUGGUAGGGUGGCGCUGAAAUUGAGGAGAAGUUGGGGAUCGAGAGGUGGUGUCUGGUUGGUGCGAAGGGGAACCCGAGGUGGGAGAAAGACAGUGGCGGCGGCGGAGGAUUUGAUGGAUG
rnacentral:lncRNA from 1 species